AUUCCAGCUCCAGUAGCGUAUAUUAAAGUUGUUGCAGUUAAAAAGCUCGUAGUUGGAUUUCUGGUACGGCGCGUUUGGCCGACACCCGUUAGGGUGUUCUGUGCCGUGCGCGCCUGCCAUCUUUCUAGAAAACCUCUCUACCCUUCACUGGGCCGGAUUGGCAGAUCCAGAACUUUUACUUUGAAAAAAUUAGAGUGUUUAAAGCAGGCUUGUGCUAUGAAUACAUUAGCAUGGAAUAAUAAUUUAGGACUUUGGUCCUAUUUUGUUGGUUUCUAGGACCGAAGUAAUGAUUGAUAGGGAUAGUUGGGGGUGCUAGUAUUCAGCGGCCAGAGGUGAAAUUCUUGGAUUCGCUGAAGACUAACUUAUGCGAAAGCAUUCACCAAGGAUGUCUUCAUUA
rnacentral:rRNA from 1 species